GGCUGUGCAGCAGGACUGGAUGUGAUGAUGGAUCACUCUUUUCUCUGUGUGCUGGGGUUAUUCUGAAUUUGUCAGAAGUGUGAGGAUUAGUUGAGAGGAUGGGACUCAUUUUAUUCUGUGUGCUGGAUUUAUUCUGGCUGUAUACACUCCUCUGCACUGGACAC